rnacentral:rRNA from 1 species
AUACGGAGGGUGCAAGCGUUGUUCGGAAUUAUUGGGCGUAAAGCGCGUGUAGGCGGUCUGUUAAGUCUGGUGUGAAAGCCCUGGGCUCAACCCAGGAAGUGCAUUGGAUACUGGCAGACUUGAGUAUGGGAGAGGAAAGCGGAAUUCCGAGUGUAGGAGUGAAAUCCGUAGAUAUUCGGAGGAACACCAGUGGCGAAGGCGGCUUUCUGGACCAAUACUGACGCUGAGACGCGAAAGCGUGGGGAGCAAACAGGAUUAGAAACCCUUGUAGUCC